rnacentral:rRNA from 1 species
GAUGAACGCUGGCGGCGUGCCUAAUACAUGCAAGUCGAGCGAACGGACGAGAAGCUUGCUUCUCUGAUGUUAGCGGCGGACGGGUGAGUAACACGUGGAUAACCUACCUAUAAGACUGGGAUAACUUCGGGAAACCGUAGCUAAUACCGGAUAAUAUUUUGAACCGCAUGGUUCAAAAGUGAAAGACGGUCUUGCUGUCACUUAUAGAUGGAUCCGCGCUGCAUUAGCUAGUUGGUAAGGUAACGGCUUACCAAGGCAACGAUGCAUAGCCGACCUGAGAGGGUGAUCGGCCACCCUGGAACUGAGACACGGUCCAGACGCCUACGGGAGGCAGCAGUAGGGAAUCUGCCGCAAUGGGCGAAAGCCUGACGGAGCAACGCCGCGUGAGUGAUGAAGGUCUUCGGAUCGUAAAACUCUGUUAUUAGGGAAGAACAUAUGUGUAAGUAACUGUGCACAUCUUGACGGUACCUAAUCAGAAAGCCACGGCUAACUACGUG